rnacentral:rRNA from 1 species
UACAGAGGUCUCAAGCGUUGUUCGGAUUCAUUGGGCGUAAAGGGUGCGUAGGCGGCGCGGUAAGUCGGAUGUGAAAUCUCGGAGCUUAACUUCGAAACUGCAUUCGAUACUGCCGUGCUUGAGGACUGGAGAGGAGACUGGAAUUUACGGUGUAGCGGUGAAAUGCGUAGAGAUGUGGAGGAACACCAGUGGCGAAGGCGACUCUUUGGCCUGUAACUGACGCUGAGGCGCGAAAGCGUGGGGAGCAAACAGG